rnacentral:rRNA from 1 species
UGUGCCCUACGGGAGGCAGCAGUGAGGAAUAUUGGUCAAUGGUCGGGAGACUGAACCAGCCAAGCCGCGUGAGGGAGGAAGGUACAGAGUAUCGUAAACCUCUUUUGUCAGGGAACAAAGACUGGGACGCGUCCCCGGAUGAGUGUACCUGAAGAAAAAGCAUCGGCUAACUCCGUGCCAGCAGCCGCGGUAAUACGGAGGAUGCGAGCGUUAUCCGGAUUUAUUGGGUUUAAAGGGUGCGCAGGCGGUCUGUUAAGUCAGCGGUCAAAGCCCGGGGCUCAACCCCGGCCCGCCGUUGAAACUGG